GAUGAACGCUGGCGGCGUGCCUAAUACAUGCAAGUCGAGCGAACAGACGAGGAGCUUGCUCCUCUGACGUUAGCGGCGGACGGGUGAGUAACACGUGGAUAACCUACCUAUAAGACUGGGAUAACUUCGGGAAACCGGAGCUAAUACCGGAUAAUAUAUUGAACCGCAUGGUUCAAUAGUGAAAGACGGUUUUGCUGUCACUUAUAGAUGGAUCCGCGCCGCAUUAGCUAGUUGGUAAGGUAACGGCUUACCAAGGCAACGAUGCGUAGCCGACCUGAGAGGGUGAUCGGCCACACUGGAACUGAGACACGGUCCAGACUCCUACGGGAGGCAGCAGUAGGGAAUCUUCCGCAAUGGGCGAAAGCUUGACGGAGCAACGCCGCGUGAGUGAUGAAGGUCUGCGGAUCGUAAAACGCUGUUAUUAGGGAAGAACAAAUGUGUAAGUAACGAUGCACGUCUUGACGGUACCUAAGCAGAAAGCCACGGCUAACUACGU
rnacentral:rRNA from 1 species